UACGAAGGGAGCUAGCGUUGUUCGGAAUUACUGGGCGUAAAGGGCGCGUAGGCGGUCUUUUAAGUCAGGCGUGAAAGCCCUGGGCUCAACCCAGGAACUGCGCUUGAGACUGGAAGGCUAGAGUAUGGGAGAGGUAAGUGGAAUUCCCAGUGUAGAGGUGAAAUUCGUAGAUAUUGGGAAGAAUAUCAGUGGCGAAGGCGGCUUACUGGACCAUAACUGACGCUGAGGCGCGAAAGCGUGGGGAGCAAACAGG
rnacentral:rRNA from 1 species